ensembl:rRNA 5S_rRNA 5S ribosomal RNA
GUCUACGGCCAUACCACCCUGAACGCUCUUGAUCUCGUCUGAUCUCGUGAAGCUAAGCAAGGUGGGCCUAGUUAGUAUUUGGAUGGGAGACUGUCUGGAAAUACUGGGUGCUGUAGGCU